rnacentral:rRNA from 1 species
UACAGAGGUCCCAAGCGUUGUUCGGAUUCACUGGGCGUAAAGGGUGCGUAGGUGGCCAGGUAAGUUCGGUGUGAAAGCUCGGAGCUUAACUCCGAAAUGGCAUUGAAUACUAUCUGGCUAGAGGGUCGGAGGGGAGACUGGAAUUCUCGGUGUAGCAGUGAAAUGCGUAGAUAUCGAGAGGAACACCAGUGGCGAAGGCGAGUCUCUGGACGACACCUGACACUGAGGCACGAAAGCCAGGGAGCAAACAGG